CCUACGGGCGGCAGCAGUGGGGAAUAUUGGACAAUGGGGGGAACCCUGAUCCAGCGACGCCGCGUGAGUGAAGAAGUAUUUCGGUAUGUAAAGCUCUAUCAGCAGGGAAGAAAGAAAUGACGGUACCUGACUAAGAAGCCCCGGCUAACUACGGGCCAGCAGCCGCGGGACUACGUAGGGUGCAAGCGUUAACCGGAUUUACUGGGUGUAAAGGUAGCGUAGACGGCGAUGCAAGUCCGAAGUGAAAGGCCGGGGCCCAACCCCUGAACUGCUUUUGAAACUGUCUGGCUGGAGUGCAGGAGAGGGAAGUGGAAUUCCUAGUGUAGCGGUGAAAUGCGUAGAUAUUAGGAGGAACACCAGUGGCGAAGGCGGCUUACUGGACUGAAACUGACGUUGAGGCUCGAAAGCGUGGGGAGCAAACAGGAUUAGAUACCCGAGUAGUC
rnacentral:rRNA from 1 species